rnacentral:tRNA from 1 species
CGUCAGAUAGCUCAGUGGUCUAGAGCAGUCGCCCGGCAAGCGAAAGACCCGGGUUCGAUUCCCGGUCCAGCGA